CUCAAAUAUCAGAUUUAUAAUCUUGAUUUGAUCAGACCUGAGUUAAAUAUUCAGGUAAAGUUGUUGUACAGAUGUGUCGACACUCUGAAUAAAACAAAUCAUCACAGGAAGCUGACAGAAAAUAUCCAGAUGAAGUCAUUAAAGCUCAUGAAUAUUAUAUAAGUAGGGAAAUCUGGAUCAAAGCUGAAAUCAGUAGUCAGUUAAUGGAUCGCAGAAUUUUCUUGAUAUUAUUUUGAUAAGUAAGAUGCGUUUAAAAGACUUCACCUUAAGCCUGCUGUAUUUUUGACAUUUCCUAAAAUGUCCCAAACAGUAAAUCUGUCGAUCAGGAUGAGCUGAUGUCUUCAUGUCGACUGAGCUGCAGUGACCGAACGUGAGCAGCAGGAGGCGGCGGACACUGAGGGGAGCUCCGGUUCAUUCAUACCUACACACUGCAGCUGGACAUUUUGUGAAAGGAUUCGUUUGACAAAGAAGCGUUUGAAAGCCGCCGCCUUGAGCCUCCUGUAUUAUCUGACAUUUCCUGAAAUGUACCAAUCCAUCCAUCGAGGAAUCGUUCAGCGGAUCAUCAGCUGUCUUCAUGUCGACUGUUUGCAGAGAGAGAGAGAAGACAAAGAGAGCUGCAGUGACCGAACGUGAGCAGCAGGAGGCGGCAGACACAGAGAGGAGCUCCGGUUCAUUCAUACCGACACCCUGCAGUCGGAGCUGUUCUGUGUCGCCUCCUUUCCAGCUUCCUGUCAUGGACGCUGAGCCACGUGAUCCCUGAGAACUGGACCACGUCCUCCAGUCCAGACCUGCAGUGGUCCUCUUCCUCAAACCGAGACCACAGAGGACUGAGAAAGCACCUGAUGGAUUCUGAGAAGAGAGGAAGGAGAGAGAGGAAGGCGCCGGUUCAGUGAAAGGACUGACAGGAAGUUCUGUCCGCUUUUCAUGCAAAGGAAACAAAAGAAGAGAAUCAAGCUGGAGCCUCUGAUCCAGUCGACGACCUUCAGAUUCUGUCUGCAAACCCCUCACACUACAGGAUCAUUUGGGCUGACAAGCGGUUCCUACCAACCUCAGCUCAGGAACGCUGCCGUGAUUGUCAGGAGGUCGUAUCAGACCCAAAAUCAGCUCAGUUAUCCCCUAUGCUGCGGUCAGCUUUACUUAAAAGUGAAGCUCGUCCUGACAGACUGAUGAUGAGCAGCGCUGUCAAAGUACAACCACUAACAAGCUUGUUUUUGCCGCUGAUCCCUGCAGAGAUAUUUUUUAGACGACUGGAACAUCUGUCCAGGACCACAAAACUCUGCAGCGAUUACAGCAGUGUUUAUUAAUAUGUACUGUCCCUGUGAUAUAAACCAAUAAAUAAAGACAUGCUGCAACAGAA